rnacentral:rRNA from 1 species
AGCAUAUCAAUAAGCGGAGGAAAAGAAACCAACAGGGAUUACCUCAGUAACGGCGAGUGAAGCGGUAACAGCUCAAAUUUGAAAUCUGGCUCUUUUAGGGUCCGAGUUGUAAUUUGUAGAAGAUGCUUUGGGUGUGGCCCCGGUCUAAGUUCCUUGGAACAGGACGUCAUAGAGGGUGAGAAUCCCGUAUGUGACUGGGUGCUUUCGUCCGUGUAAAGCUCUUUCGACGAGUCGAGUUGUUUGGGAAUGCAGCUCAAAAUGGGUGGUAAAUUUCAUCUAAAGCUAAAUAUUGGCCAGAGACCGAUAGCGCACAAGUAGAGUGAUCGAAAGAUGAAAAGCACUUUGGAAAGAGAGUUAAACAGUACGUGAAAUUGUUGAAAGGGAAGCGCUUGCAAUCAGACUCGCAUGCCGCUGAUCAUCCGGGGUUCUCCUCGGUGCACUCGGUGGUUUUCGGGCCAGCAUCAGUUUGGGUGGUGGGAUAAAGGCCUUGGGAACGUAGCUUCUUUCGGGGAGUGUUAUAGCCCUCGGUGCAAUGCCACCUACCUAGACUGAGGACCGCGCUUCGGCUAGGAUGCUGGCGUAAUGGUUGUAAGCGACCCGUCUUGAAACACGGACCAAGGAGUCUAACAUCUAUGCGAGUAUUUGGGUGUUAAACCCAUAUGCGUAAUGAAAGUGAACGGAGGUAAGAACCCUUAAGGGUGCAUUAUCGACCGAUCCUGAUGUCUUCGGAUGGAUUUGAGUAAGAGCAUAGCUGUUGGGACCCGAAAGAUGGUGAACUAUGCCUAAAUAGGGUGAAGCCAGAGGAAACUCUGGUGGAGCUCGCAGCGGUUCUGACGUGCAAAUCGAUCGUCAAAUUUGGGUAUAGGGGCGAAAGACUAAUCGAACCAUCUAGUAGCUGGUCU